ensembl:snoRNA
GUCCUUUUGUAGUUCAUAAGCAUGAGGAUUGAGUGUUUACACCAUUGUCUGACAUGUGCCACCCUUAAACCUUGUUAUGACAUUGGCCCAUUACCCAUCUGACA